rnacentral:rRNA from 1 species
AUUGAACGCUGGCGGCAGGCCUAACACAUGCAAGUCGAACGAGUGGCGGACGGGUGAGUAAUGUCUGGGAAACUGCCAGAUGGAGGGGGAUAACUACUGGAAACGGUAGCUAAUACCGCAUACUAUCAGAUGUGCCCAGAUGGGAUUAGCUAGUGGGUGGGGUAACGGCUCACCAAGGCGACGAUCUCUAGCUGGUCUGAGAGGAUGACCAGCCACACUGGAACUGAGACACGGUCCAGACUCCUACGGGAGGCAGCAGUGGGGAAUAUUGCACAAUGGGCGCAAGCCUGAUGCAGCCAUGCCGCGUGUAUGAAGAAGGCCUUCGGGUUGUAAAGUACUUUCAGCGGGGAGGCGUUACCCGCAGAAGAAGCACCGGCUAACUCCGUGCCAGCAGCCGCGGUAAUAC